AGCAGUCUUUAGAACGGUGUUAGAAGAUUCUAUGGUGAAUUUGAAGGGAAUACCAGCUGUGGUAAACUGGUGUCCCAUUAUAAGGCAUGGGCUCAAGUCACGCGCAAUGACUUGGGAGCGAGCUGAGUUCAUAUUCACUCCUAAAGAGAACGGAUAGGUCCAGUUGGAAUUUUAUUCAAGGUAUAUGAUAAAAACAACCUUAAGAUUGAUUCUAUACAUCGUUUGACAUGUUUCUACAAACUGUAACUUUUUUGACUUUGUCUGGACUCACGUAGUGGAUUUGGAUAGUGAACCUAACGCGCGAACAAAAUGGAUUAUUUGGAAAUAAAUAUGAACUUUAUCUAACAUUUAUUGUGGAGCUGCGAUUCCUGGGAGUGCCAUCUGAUGAAGAUAAUCAAAGGACCUGAGCCCUAGGACCAUGCCUCAGGACUACCUGGUAUGAUGACUCCUUGCUGCUGCUCCAGUUUCAACUGUUCUGCCUGCGGCUAUGGAACCCUGACCUGUUCACCGGACGUGCUUGUUGCACCCUCGACAACUACUAUGAUUAUUAUUAUUUGACCAUGCUGGUCAUUUAUGAACAUUUUAACAUUUUAACAUUUUGACCAUGUUCUGUUAUAAUAUCCACCCUGCACAGCCAGAAGAGGACUGGCCACCCCUCAUAGCCUGGUUCCUCUCUAGGUUUCUUCCUAGGUUUUUGGCCUUUCUAGGGAGUUUUUCCUAGGGAGUUUUUCCUAGCCACCGUGCUUCUUUCACAUGCUUUGCUUGCUGUUUGGAGUUUUAAGCUGGGUUUCUGUACAGCACUUUGAGAAUAUCAGCUGAUGUACGAAGGGCUAUAUAAAAAAAAAUUGAUUUAAAAAAAUAUAUAUUUUUUUUUAUCAGAUUAACAUCAUGAUGUUGCAAAAUGUAUGGGAUUAAACAUGAAACUAUUUGUGAGAAGAUAAAAUCUUAUUUUAGCUUCAAAAUGAGAGAAUUGUUUCAUAAGUAAACAUACGUAAGUGGUGAAUUUCAACUAGACCAGCCAGAAUACAGCAUGAGCUGAUUAUGGCAACUUGGUAUUAACUUUGAACUAUUAUUCACUAAAGAGGAAGUGACACAUCCUAGAUGUUGAGUUAUCAGCUGCAGCUGUAAACGUACGUGGCCUAGGAAAGGACAGAUAAUCUCAGAAGAACCACAGGGUACUUCAACGUAUCUCUCUACAACACGACGACCAGAAAAAUUAUUCAAAGGACAAUGGCGAUCUCUGCUGGGCAAACCAGUCUUCCAUCUUCGACUGAUCAAUCGAAGCACAGUUCAGAGUAAAUACAUAUGUUGCAUUUUCCUUUUCCGAAUGGGCGGUUAUUAGAAUGCAUAAGAUUCUGUGUUUACGGUAGCAUAGCUUCUCAAGGUCCGAUAGAGACCAAAUUCUUGUCCCUCAGUCUUCCCGCUCUUUCAUUCAAACCCAACCCCCAUCCUAUUGGGUUAGUCCACUAGGGGUUUUCCAUGACCUGAUUAGUAAUUGAUGUAUGAUCUAUCCUGUGUAUAUUUAUGUAAUUCUGUGUGAUUAUUUAGUAAAUAAAUAUUUAGUAAAUAAAUACAUAAUUAAGCCAAUUUCAAGCUUGAUCGUUGUGAUAAUUCUGUGUAAUUU
rnacentral:lncRNA from 1 species